AGCAGUCGCCGCGUUAAUACGGAGGGGGCUAGCGUUGUUCGGAAUUACUGGGCGUAAAGCGCACGUAGGCGGCUUGGUAAGUUAGAGGUGAAAGCCUGGAGCUCAACUCCAGAAUUGCCUUUAAGACUGCCGAGCUAGCAGGUGAGAGAGGUAAGUGGAAUUCCGAGUGUAGAGGUGAAAUUCGUAGAUAUUCGGAAGAACACCAGUGGCGAAGGCGGCUUACUGGCUCAUACUGGACGCUGAGGUGCGAAAGCGUGGGGAGCAAACAGGAUUAGAGACCCCCGUAGUCCCUGUCUCUUAUAC
rnacentral:rRNA from 1 species